rnacentral:rRNA from 1 species
UACGUAGGUGGCAAGCGUUGUCCGGAAUUACUGGGUGUAAAGGGCGUGUAGGCGGGGAGACAAGUCAGAUGUGAAAUACCGUGGCUUAACUGCGGGGGUGCAUCUGAAACUGUUUCUCUUGAGUGUCGGAGAGGAAAGUGGAAUUCCCAGUGUAGCGGUGAAAUGCGUAGAGAUUGGGAGGAACACCAGUGGCGAAGGCGGCUUUCUGGACGAUAACUGACGCUGAGGCGCGAAAGCGUGGGUAGCAAACAGGGUUAGAUACCCCUGUAGUCCCU